UAAGGAAUAUUGGACAAUGGAGGCAACUCUGAUCCAGCCAUGCCGCGUGAAGGAGUAAGGCCCUAUGGGUUGUAAACUUCUUUUAGACGGGACAAAACCCCUUUACGUGUAAAGGGUUGAUGGUACUGUCAGAAUAAGCAUCGGCUAACUUCGUGCCAGCAGCCGCGGUAAGACGAAGGAUGCAAGCGUUAUCCGGAAUUAUUGGGUUUAAAGGGUGCGUAGGCGGACUAAUAAGUCAGUGGUGAAAGCCUGCAGCUUAACUGCAGAAUUGCCAUUGAUACUGUUAGUCUUGAGUACAGUUGAGGUAGGCGGAAUGUGUCAUGUAGCGGUGAAAUGCCUAGAUAUGACACAGAACACCGAUUGCGAAGGCAGCUUGCUAAGCUGUAACUGACGCUGAGGCACGAAAGCGUGGGGAGCAAACA
rnacentral:rRNA from 1 species